rnacentral:rRNA from 1 species
GGAUUAUGUGGAUUAAUUCGAUGCAACGCGAAAACCUUACCUACCCUUGACAUGUCCUGAAGCCUGGAGAGAUCCGGGUGUGCCCGAAAGGGAACGGGAACACAGGUGCUGCAUGGCUGUCGUCAGCUCGUGUCGUGAGAUGUUGGGUUAAGUCCCGCAACGAGCGCAACCCUUGUCAUUAGUUGCUACAUUUAGUUGGGCACUCUAAUGAGACUGCCGGUGACAAACCGGAGGAAGGUGGGGAUGACGUCAAGUCCUCAUGGCCCUUAUGGGUAGGGCUUCACACGUAAUACAAUGGCGCGUACAGAGGGUUGCCAAGCCGCGAGGUGGAGCCAAUCCCAGAAAGCGCGUCGUAGUCCGGAUUGCAGUCUGCAACUCGACUGCAUGAAGUCGGAAUCGCUAGUAAUCGCGGAUCAGCAUGUCGCGGUGAAUACGUUCCCGGGUCUU